rnacentral:rRNA from 1 species
AUUGAACGCUGGCGGCAUGCCUUACACAUGCAAGUCGAACGGCAGCACGGGAGCAAUCCUGGUGGCGAGUGGCGAACGGGUGAGUAAUAUAUCGGAACGUGCCCAGUUGUGGGGAUAACGUAGCGAAAGCUACGCUAAUACCGCAUACGAUCUAUGGAUGAAAGCGGGGGAUCGCAAGACCUCGCGCGAUUGGAGCGGCCGAUAUCAGAUUAGGUAGUUGGUGAGGUAAAGGCUCACCAAGCCGACGAUCUGUAGCUGGUCUGAGAGGACGACCAGCCACACUGGGACUGAGACACGGCCCAGACUCCUACGGGAGGCAGCAGUGGGGGAAUUUUGGACAAUGGGCGCAAGCCUGAUCCAGCAAUGCCGCGUGAGUGAAGAAGGCCUUCGGUUGUAAC